rnacentral:rRNA from 1 species
GACGAACGCUGGCGGCGUGCUUAACACAUGCAAGUCGAACGGAAAGGCCCUGCUUUUGUUGGGUUCUCGAUUGGCGAACGGGUGAGUAACACGUGAGUAACCUGCCCUUGACUUUGGGAUAACUUCAGGAAACUGGGGCUAAUACCGGAUAGGAGCUCCUGCUGCAUGGUGGGGGUUGGAAAGUGUCGGCGGUUGGGGAUGGACUCGCGGCUUAUCAGCUUGUUGGUGGGGUAGUGGCUUACCAAGGCUUUGACGGGUAGCCGGCCUGAGAGGGUGACCGGCCACAUUGGGACUGAGAUACGGCCCAGACUCGUACGGGCGGCAGCAGUGGGGAAUAUUGCACAAUGGGCGGAAGCCUGAUGCAGCAACGCCGCGUGCGGGAUGACGGCCUUCGGGUUGUAAACCGCUUUCGCCUGUGACGAAGCGUGAGUGACGGUAAUGGGUAAAGAAGCACCGGCUAACUACGUG